AUGCCCAAAGUAUCUUACCUUAAACCACAUCAUGUAGAUCCAGAAUUAGCAUUUGAGGCUUCCUGGCUCCCAGCUCCCUGCUGCCGCCUAGAAUUUUAUAUGACCUGUGGAAUUGGCCAAAUGACAUUAUGCAGUAGCCAAAACAGACACGGAAAACAGAAUCCAGUGUUCUCCUUGGCACAUGCCCACUCUGCACUGCCUGAGGCUCCCAGGCCUCAACCCUUUGGGCACUGGUCUCAUAAGCUAAGCAAGGCUGGCUGUUCUCUGUACUUGCCUGGGAGAUGUCUGAGGAAGAUUCAUUGCGCUGUGGAAAAUGAGGUGGAGAUGCAGUAG
rnacentral:lncRNA from 1 species